UCAGUUUUGAAGAUCAUCGCAGCUGCAAAGGACCUUGUCAUAAACAAAACUUCAGAUAUGAUGCCCAGUUGGUUGCUGGUACCCUUCAUUUUGGAAGCUGUCUCUCCUCUAUUGGCCUUUGAGGUGAUCUGCGAGCCAAAGUCCCUUCAAAUGGCUGUUGGUAACAAUACAUCACUUAGAUGCUUCUGGAAAUGUGAGAGUGAGAAAUGUGCUGCAGAAAGAAUCAUCUGGACAAAAGAUGGCCACGUACUUCAGUCACAUCCACCAACUUAAAAAUCAAAAUAAUCAAACAGUGAACGACCGAUUUCAAUUUAUGUACUAUAAUGUAGGAAAAUGGGAACAUUUCUGUGGACAUUAAAAAUCUUCAGAAUUCAAAUGAAGGAACCUACAGCUGUAUAAUUAUCAUCGAUGGAGCCUAUGGUCAGGGGACAAUACAUCUGCAAGUGUCAGAUCCAGAUGAAAAACACAACAAGGAUGUUACAGAACAAACUGAUUCUGUGACUCCAGAAAAACAGGAAAUUAAUUGGAUGGCACUUGGUAAGUAGUAAAAGGAAUUCUCAUUUGGUGUAAAUAUUUGGGCCCUUUCUUUUAAUUCUUGAUCAGUUUUCUUAAUGUCCUCCCUCUGGUUGAGGUAAUACAUCUAAACAAGUUCUCUCAGGUUGCAUGAAGCAUUGAUUUGGAUGUUUGAAGAACACUUUUGUAAUCUGGAAAUUGAGUCUCUAGAUUGUGCUUGAUAACUGUGGAGAGAGUAAACAUUAUAUUAGUAUCUGUAGUUGAAGGCAGUGUUCUGCUGCAUAUCUUAAUAUUUUUUCCCUGUAAAGAAUCUCUGCAAAACACGACAAUUUUUACUUUAGGCAAAAAAGUCUGGAUAAAUAUUAUAUUGUAGAUAUGUGUGUAUAAAAAAUGUAAUAAAUGAUGUGGUCAAAACAGGCAGGAAAGUUGGCAUAGGACAGGGGCAAAAAUCAACAAGGCUCAAGGAAGAAAAGCAAAACAUGGUAAAGAAGAUAUAUGUCUUCAUGCCAAUACAAAAUGAAGACCUCAGAAUUAUAGUUAUUAUUUUAAAUGGAAAUCUAUCAAUACACAGUCCACUUGUAGGAACUGAUGGCUCAGUAGAUUCUAGCUUGGUGCCUUUGUCACAAAAGUAGAACUGGUCAUGAUUGUUGAGAUGCUUUCCAUGGCUUGGUUUAAAGUGACCUGAGAAUGAUGUCUAAGGCUGCUUUAAGCCCAUAGUCUCAGCUGGGAGUUAAGAGAUGAACCAGAAGAAAAGGCUAAAAUGGGGUGUGGAGGGAGAACAAGUUAAAGACAGCAUAAGUCAUAGAGACAGAGACAGGGUGGGUAAUUGGGGUGCUUUCUCUUAGCACACUAGACAUCCCAGAGGUUAGCAGGAUGCUUGAACAGGUGAGAAAGAAGAGCUUUUAUUUUUUUCUUUAAAGGUAGGAAUUAGGCAAACCACAUCACGCUUUACACAAGGAGUUUGAGACAUAUGGAGGCAGACCCAAGGAAGAAACAAGAGUUUGUGUUUUUUUAUCCAAUAGACUGGUCAAAUACAAGAGAAGAUACAAUCUGAGGAUUUUACAGCUCUACCCUUGUUUUUGAUUAUAAGAAACCUAAAGGGCUAUCCAGGGAAUUUCCAUCGUGAAACAAAGAGCUGAGAAGUGAAGAAUGAAGGAGUUAAAAAAAAAAAAGAAAAGAAACAGGUGAAAAUGUUAAGAAGUGAAAGGCAAAAUUGUACAUUUGGUAAUGGUGCUAACCACAUGGACAAAAAUCUCAAUAUACACACACACACACACAGACUGUUUUGCUUUGCAGUUUUAUUAUUGGUUAGGAAAACAAAUUA